rnacentral:rRNA from 1 species
AAUGAACGUUGGCGGCGUGGAUUAGGCAUGCAAGUCGAACGAGAUCUGUAGCAAUACAGUGAAAGUGGCGAAAGGGAGAGUAAUACGUAGGUACCUGCCCUCGGGUCUGGGAUAGCUGCGGGAAACUGCAAUUAAUACCGGAUGACGUCUCUGGACCAAAGGUGUGAUUCAGCCAGGGGAUGGGCCUGCGUCGUAUCAGCUAGUUGGUGUGGUAAUGGCGCACCAAGGCUAAGACGGGUACGGGGUGUGAGAGCAUGCCCCCGCUCACUGGGACUGAGAUACUGCCCAGACACCUACGGGUGGCUGCAGUCGAGAAUCUUCCGCAAUGGGCGCAAGCCUGACGGAGCGACGCCGCGUGUGGGAUGAAGGCCUUCGGGUUGUAAACCACUGUCAGUGGGGAGCAAAUGCAUCAGGGUUCUCCCUGGUGUUUGAGCGAUCCGCAGAGGAAGCACAGGCUAAUUCCGUGCCAGCAGCCGCCGUAACAC